rnacentral:snoRNA from 1 species
UCAGUUACUGAUUUACAGACAGGUGCAAAAAAAAAAAAAAUCCUCUUUUACAACCCAGAACUCAUUGCUAAGUAUGAGUUUUGAUACAUAUAAGAAGGAAUAUU